rnacentral:rRNA from 1 species
CCCUUAGACGUUCUGGGCCGCACGCGCGCUACACUGACGAAGGCAACGAGCUUUCCUUUACCGAAAGGUACGGGUAAUCUUUUGAAACUUCGUCGUGCUGGGGAUAGAUCCUUGCAAUUUUUGAUCUUAAACGAGGAAUGCCUAGUAAGCGCAAGUCAUCAACUUGCGUUGAUUACGUCCCUGCCCUUUGUACACACCGCCCGUCGCUACUACCGAUUGAAUGGUUUAGUGAGGCCUUCGGAUCCGCGACUCGUUUGUGGAGAAGUUGGACAAACUCAGUCAUUUAGAGGAAGUAAAAGUCGUAACG